rnacentral:pre_miRNA from 1 species
ACAUACUUCCUUAUAUGUCCAUAUGAACCUGACAAGCUGUGGAAUGUAAAGAAGUAUGUAU